rnacentral:ncRNA from 2 species
AAAUAUAAAUUAGCGCCAGACUAGAAAUAGUUAACGAGGUAUGUAGUUAUCGAGUUUUCGGCGGAUACUACAUUGGGUGUAUAUGCUCAUUAGAUUAUUAUAAAAAAACAAAAUCAAAAUUGUAACAAGAUAAUAAUCAUAUAUAAG